UUGGGAUCGGUUCGAUUCUUCGAAUUCGAGUUUUUUGCCCAACCCUAAAUAGUGACAUGAAAAUCAAAUAGCAUCAUAUUUAAAAAAAAAAAAAUACACCCGCACGGGCGUGCGGGUCAAAAUCUAAGACCAGCUCCAUCGCUGGCUUUUAAGAAGUUCAUAGCCCAGCCUCUUACGCGGUUUUGAUUAGAAUAUUAAUAUAAUGUUGCAUUUUCGGUAGAGGCACCUCUUAUUUAAAGAUUUUUAGAGGUUAGUCCUAAACGACGUGGCAAGCUGUAACUGGUUCUCCCUUUGCUCUAGUCUCGUUUGGCAACAAAAAAUCCUAUCAUUUUACGCGAGAGAAAGAAAAAAAAACUUCAGAGGGAGAUUUUGUGCGAUUCGGUAUCAUUGCUCUAAGGUAAAUCGAUUUCCACAUGCUUAAUCCGAGUUGUUUAGGGUUCGAUUUAUGGAUUUCUACUUGUUCCAUGUUGUUUUUCUCUCACUUUUGUGGUCGAUUUUGGGUUUAAAAUCGAUUUGGGGAUCGAUUUGAAAUUAGGGUUUUCGUUAGGAUUCGAAGACGAAUUGGGAUACGAUUUGUGUUUCCGAUAUGGAUGUUUUAGAGAUCAAUUUCAGGUUUAAAAUCAAGUUAGGGAUUGAUUGUUGUUUCUGAUUGUCGUUGUGUUCUUUUUUGAUUAUGUCAACUUGUUUGCUUAUGUUUUUCAAUCGAGCAACUAAAAAUGAGUUUCCUCCUAGUUGUUUGGUUAAUUGACUGAAUUAAUUACAUUUUGAAGAUCAUGGAUCCUAAUGAAGAGAGGAGAUCUAUGAAGGCGCAAAAGGCCCUCUUCGAUAGCCUACAUUUGUAACUGACUCGAUGCAAGGAAUUCAAGAACGGUGUGUAUGUGGGAAACGCUUAGUGCGCGAGAGAGCUCCAGCAGAAGUCUUUGACUACCUACCCGGGAAGAGGUUCUUCACAUGUAAGGAGUACAAAGAUGAUGGCAUGCAUUACAGGCAGCCGUGGGUCUGUGCAGUGGAGGAGGAGCUACAGAUGAUGAAAACGCGGCUGGAAAAAUGUGAAGAGCAUAAAUCCCUGGUGGAAAAGCUGGAAGUCGAGAAUCAGGAGCUGAAGGUGAGUUGCCUUCUAUCUUUCGUUUAAGAUUUAGGUUAUGUGUCUGGUUAUACUUCAAAAUGUUAACAAAUGUUUUAAAUUUUGCAGGCAGAGAUGGAGAAGCUCAUAGCCCGAGUGUCCGAGCUUGAGUAUGCCGCAUAAGGUGAGUUCAUAAAUCUUUUAAGAGUUUUUGAACGUUCUCUAUUUCUAAAGUUCUCGCAUCAGUAACUUCAGUUUCAGAACUCUCUCUAUUUCGACUUCAUUUCUAACUUUCAAGUUUCUAAACAUUAACUUUUUAUUUCAUUUCAAACUUUCUAGUUUGAACUAGUUUAAAUCCAGUGGUUUUAAUUGUUUCUGAGUCUUAACUGAGUCUUAUUAAUGCAGAUUUGACUGGUUUUAAACUUUAGUGGUUUAAUGAAAAUCUUCCUAACUGCAUUGAGUUGAUAGGUCUUUAAAGGUCUAUGUAAACUUUCCUAGGGUGGUGGUUAGGAUUAGGUUAGAUAGUACAUACAUCAUUUAAGCAAGAACACUACUUAAAUUGACCUAAACACACAGACUAACCAAACACAGAAACUACCCAAAACCCACAAACUUAGAAAAUGGCAUCGUACUAUCCAGGGUUUGUUAACCUACUAACAAGCCAAACCGGAGAAUCUAGCACUCCAGAGUUUGUGAACCUCUCUGGUUCUCAAUCCAUAGACGUGGACUCACCUGAUCUUCCAGCUUUUAGCAGCCACUCUGCAGAAGCAUCUACUGUCAAGGAGAGGAAGAAAUGGUCUCCGAAGGAGGAUGUUAUUCUCAUAAGUUCUUGGCUCAACACCAACAAAGAUCCCAUAAUAGGGAAUGAGUAAAAGUGUGGAACUUUUUGGAAAAGGAUCCGGGAUUACUACAACUCAAGUGUUCAGCAUGCUGGGUUGGAGCCUAGGGAGCUAGGUCAGUGCAAGCAAAGGUGGGGAAGGCUUAAUGACCUAGUCUGCAAAUUCUGUGGUUCUUAUGAUGCGGCUUUGAGGGUUCAAUCAAGCGGUGCGAAUGACAAUGAUGUGAUGAAGAAAGCACUAGACAUGUUCUUCAAUGACUAUGGUUGUAAGUUCAAUUUAGAGCAUGCUUGGAGAUACCAUAGGGCAAGUUCAAUUCAUCGUCAACGGUCACAAAUACCAUAGGGCCUACUACCUCACCGACGGUAUAUAUCCAAAGUGGCCUACCAUUAUCCAAUCCAUCUCUAUUCCUCAAGGUCCUAAGGCGGAGUUAUUUGCACAAUGUCAAGAAGCCGCCAGAAAAGAUGUCGAGCGGGCUUUCGGAGUCUUGCAAGCUCGUUUUGCAAUUGUUAGAAACCCGGCUCUUCUUUGGAACAAGGAAAAAAUCAGCAACAUUAUCAGAACAUGUAUCAUCCUACACAAUAUGAUAGUGGAAGAUGAACGAGACGGAUACAGUCAAUUUGAUACAUCUAUAUUCGUAGAAGGAGAAACAAGCAGAAGUUCAGAGGUGGAUUUCUCGUUCUCUACAAACAUGCCUACGAAUCUCGGUAAUAUGCUUGCCAUUCGGAGUGAACUUCGCGACCAAAUGAUACAUGAACGAUUGAAGAACGAUUUAAUUGAGAAUAUAUUUGCACAAUUUGGUCAUCAACAAUCAUAAUUAUUGUAUGUUUAAUAUUUGUUUUUCAAUAAAUAAAAUUUUAUUUUCCAUAAAUUUAGUAAUAUUAUUUUAUUUUUAAGAACUUCACUUUGGAGUUCGCCAAUGGACACCCAAAAAAAGUGAAAGUCCUUAACUUUUCAAAAUUAAUUAAAAUAAUUAAAACAAAAUGCUAAGAACCAUACUUAGAGGUUCACCAAUGGAGUUGCUCUCAUAUAACCUUAAACCAGUAAAAUUGUUUUGUUUGUUCGUAUAUUAAAAGACAUAUAAGCACCAAUACUAAGUGCCUUUAUAUUAUGUACUUUCUUAAGAUGUUUUCAACCCGAAAAUUAUUCUUUUUCAACAGCACCAAAAAUUACAUUUAGUCAAUUUAGUAUAGACAUACACGAGUGAUAAAAUCGUGUUUCGUCGAUAGUACUAACCCUUAUGAUCUUCAUUCUCUAUUGUAUAUGUACCUGCAAUUCACUAUGUUCUUGGUCACCUUCACAAAUCGUAAAGUGAUCCAUAUAUAAAGCAGUUAAUUAGCUAACUUCGACGCUUUGUCACCUAUACACAGUAACAACUAAAAGUUAUUAUCCUUUCACUAACACAACACUAAUCAAAAUGUGGGCUCUAUCGAGAAUACAUUCAAACUCUGGCACUUUCUCCAUGUAUUGAGGGAUAAAGUGUGAUAUUCAAUGCGAGAGAAAUGGUGCAAAUGAGGAGACGAUAAAUUAUGUAUUUUUGUAUGUCUUCUAGCGGUACAUGUUUGGGUUCUAUCGAAAAUACACUCAAAUCAUGGCACUUUCCCCAUACUUUCGGUGUUUGUUAAUAUAGAUUACUUAUUCUGGUGAAUAUCAAACUAUGUGAAUGAUCAUCAUUUCGCAUAGAAUCAAUAGUACAUUUGGAAGGUAAGGGAUGAUAAAAUCUUUAAUGAUAAUGACAGAGAUCCCAUGGAUAUUUUGCAAUUGGCAUAAACAGAGUCAUGACCACAAGCUCAGGUUGCAUCACAUAAAAAUAUAACACAAGGUUCCACUACAAAAGAUGACGAAAAUGAAAUAUUCGUCACACGAAAACAGAAAAAUGG